UGUCACAUCACUCUAACCUAUAGAGUAGUUCUGUACUGGAGGGUUCACUCUUCUGAAAGAUAUUUUCUCCAAUAUUUUUGUCUAUUGGGACUGUUUCAGAUGACUAAUGGAUUCAAAGAGACACAUCAGAUACUGAAUGAUGGAAGAGCUUCAUUCCUCAUCAUGUCCUUUCUGUUCAAAGGAGAAAAGAAAACAAGGCAGGACAAAAGAUGAUCCUGUUGGGGAAGCCCUUUCUGCAGAUUCUGAUGCCCUCCAGCACACCGUUACAGCGCAGCUGGUGCAUGACCAGAGGAU